rnacentral:rRNA from 1 species
GUGGGGAAUAUUGGGCAAUGGGCGCAAGCCUGACCCAGCAACGCCGCGUGAGGGAAGAAGGCUUUCGGGUUGUAAACCUCUGUCCUUGGUGACGAAACAAAUGACGGUAGCCAAGGAGGAAGCCCCGGCUAACUACGUGCCAGCAGCCGCGGUAAUACGUAGGGGGCGAGCGUUGUCCGGAAUUACUGGGCGUAAAGGGUGCGUAGGUGGCCUUUUAAGUUGGAUGUGAAAUACCCGGGCUUAACUUGGGGGGUGCAUCCAAAACUGGGAGGCUAGAGUGCAGGAGAGGAAAGCGGAAUUCCUAGUGUAGCGGUGAAAUGCGUAGAUAUUAGGAGGAACACCAGUGGCGAAGGCGGCUUACUGGACUGUAACUGACGUUGAGGCUCGAAAGCGUGGGGAGCAAACAGGAUUAGAAACCCCAGUAGUCC